rnacentral:lncRNA from 1 species
AUUUUUUAAUUCUCUAAUGAAUUGUGUGUUUUUUUGUAGUAAACUAGGCAGUAAAUCACAUAGGCAAUCAGUUUUGCAAAAGGGCCUUCAAGCAAACACAGGGAGAAGGCCAGGGAGGCAGGCAGUUUGGUUACUACCAGCAAUUCUAUGCUGAGCUCUUACUGCCUAUUUUCUUGCACUGCUCCGACCUUGAUGCUCCACCAGGGCUCACAUACCUGGAGGCCGCCCCACCCACUCCUGCCAGGCACCACCAGCCCUUCGUCCUCCUACUCUGUGUCCCCCACGCUGCACAAGCCAUCUCUGCCCUGCUGCUACCCAAAGCACACCCAGCAGACAACUAGCAUGUUUGGAGGCUGUGCAGCUGGCUCAAGCCCAGGCUUGGAAGGACUGCUUGGUGUCAGAUCCCCGACAUCAUGGAGCGAUGGGCCCCAGACAAUUCCCACAGCCCCAGUUUCAACUUUUCAUCGGCCAUUGCCCUGAUGAUAGCAGAGUCUGGCGAGAUGAAGAUGUACGUUAUGUGCCCGACGCACACUAAGAUCGUAUAAGUCUCAGCUUCAGAAUGGUCACAGUAGUUUGGUGCUAUGCUUUAUAAAAGCCUAAUUUCUCAAGAAUUUGACCAUAUCUCUGUAAUUGAAAGGCUUUUGCUAAUAACAUUAAGUAUGAAAUAGUAGGAGCCAAUUGAAGCUCAUAUCGCUUAACAAAGGUCAAAGAAGCAAAUCAUUUUAAUUGAAUACGCAAAUUAUAUGAAGUGUCUAGAUGUCAAGAAAGUUGAAAGCAAAGAUGCAAGUUGGGUAAGUCAUUCUAGAAAUCAAAUGAGAUAUGUCUAAUUAAUUAAUUGUAGUUGGAGGGCUCUAAAGCAGCAGAGGGAGCAUUCCCACCUGCACUGGGAAUUGCAGCCUAACAAACAGGGAUAUGACAUGAAACUAUAAAUGAACACUUGCAGACUGAGGAUUAUUUGAGCUCUGAAGGGGCACUGCUGUUUACUACAGAUCCAGCCAUUUUCAGAUAGCUUCAGGCACUGCACUUCUACAUUCCAGCUAUUUAUUUUCUGAUUUCACAAUCUUUACGGUUUC